UACGUAGGGGGCAAGCGUUGUCCGGAAUCAUUGGGCGUAAAGAGCGUGUAGGCGGCCCGAUAAGUCUGUCGUGAAAGCCCCGGGCUCAACCUGGGAAUGGCGAUGGAUACUGGCGGGCUAGAGUGCGGUAGAGGAGAGUGGAAUUCCCGGUGUAGCAGUGAAAUGCGUAGAGAUCGGGAGGAACAUCAGUUGCGAAGGCGGCUCUCUGGACCAGCACUGACACUGAGGCACGAAAGCGUGGGGAGCAAACAGG
rnacentral:rRNA from 1 species